UACGUAGGGGGCAAGCGUUGUCCGGAAUCAUUGGGCGUAAAGCGCGCGUAGGCGGUCCGGUAAGUCCGCUGUGAAAGUCAAAGGCUCAACCUUUGAAUGUCAGUGGAUACUGCCGGGCUAGAGUCCGGAAGAGGCGAGUGGAACUCCUGGUGUAGCGGUGGAAUGCGCAGAUAUCAGGAAGAACACCGACUGCGAAGGCAGCUCGCUGGGACGGUACUGACGCUGAGGCGCGAAAGCGUGGGGAGCGAACAGG
rnacentral:rRNA from 1 species